rnacentral:rRNA from 1 species
CUAGAGUUUGAUCCUGGCUCAGAGCGAACGCUGGCGGCAGGCCUAACACAUGCAAGUCGAGCGCCCAGCAAUGGGAGCGGCAGACGGGUGAGUAACACGUGGGAACGUACCCUUUGGUUCGGAACAACACAGGGAAACUUGUGCUAAUACCGGAUAAGCCCUUACGGGGAAAGAUUUAUCGCCGAAAGAUCGGCCCGCGUCUGAUUAGCUAGUUGGUGAGGUAACGGCUCACCAAGGCGACGAUCAGUAGCUGGUCUGAGAGGAUGAUCAGCCACAUUGGGACUGAGACACGGCCCAAACUCCUACGGGAGGCAGCAGUGGGGAAUAUUGGACAAUGGGCGCAAGCCUGAUCCAGCCAUGCCGCGUGAGUGAUGAAGGCCCUAGGGUUGUAAAGCUCUUUUGUGCGGGAAGAUAAUGACGGUACCGCAAGAAUAAGCCCCGGCUAACUUCGUGCCAGCAGCCGCGGUA